UAGGGAAUCUUCCACAAUGGGGGAAACCCUGAUGCAGCGACGCCGCGUGAGUGAAGAAGUAUUUCGGUAUGUAAAGCUCUAUCAGCAGGGAAGAUGAUGACGGUACCUGAGUAAGAAGCCCCGGCUAACUACGUGCC
rnacentral:rRNA from 1 species